rnacentral:rRNA from 1 species
GACGAACGCUGGCGGCGUGCCUAAUACAUGCAAGUAGGACGCAGUUGCGAACGGGUGAGUAACGCGUAGGUAACUACCUAUUAGAGGGGGAUAACUCUUGGAAACGAUAGCUAAUACCGCAUACUAGUAGAUGGACCUGCGUUGUAUUAGCUAGUAGGUAGGGUAAUGGCCUACCUAGGCAACGAUACAUAGCCGACCUUGGAGGGGUAUCGGCCAAACUGGGACUGGAACAAGGGCCAGAAUACUACGGGGGGCAGCAGUAGGGAAUCUUCGGCAAUGGGGGGAACCCUGACCGAGCAACGCCGCGGGAGUGAAGAAGGUUUUCGGAUCGUAAAGCUCUGUUGUUAAGGAAGCGGUACUUAACCAGAAAGGGACGGCUAACUACGUGCCAGCCGCCGCGGUAAUAC